GACGAACGCUGGCGGCGUGCUUAACACAUGCAAGUCGAACGGAAAGGCCCUGCUUUUGUGGGGUGCUCGAGUGGCGAACGGGUGAGUAACACGUGAGUAACCUGCCCUUGACUUUGGGAUAACAUCAGGAAACUGGGGCUAAUACCGGAUAGGAGCUCCUGCUGCAUGGUGGGGGCUGGAAAGUUUCGGCGGUUGGGGAUGGACUCGCGGCUUAUCAGCUUGUUGGUGGGGUAGUGGCUUACCAAGGCUUUGACGGGUAGCCGGCCUGAGAGGGUGACCGGCCACAUUGGGACUGAGAUACGGCCCAGACUCCUACGGGAGGCAGCAGUGGGGAAUAUUGCACAAUGGGCGGAAGCCUGAUGCAGCAACGCCGCGUGCGGGAUGACGGCCUUCGGGUUGUAAACCGCUUUCGCCUGUGACGAAGCGUGAGUGACGGUAAUGGGUAAAGAAGCACCGGCUAACUACGUG
rnacentral:rRNA from 1 species